rnacentral:rRNA from 1 species
CUACGGGAGGCAGCAGUGGGGAAUAUUGCACAAUGGGCGGAAGCCUGAUGCAGCAACGCCGCGUGAGGGAUGACGGCCUUCGGGUUGUAAACCUCUUUUAGCAGGGAAGAAGCGAAAGUGACGGUACCUGCAGAAAAAGCGCCGGCUAACUACGUGCCAGCAGCCGCGGUAAUACGUAGGGCGCAAGCGUUAUCCGGAAUUAUUGGGCGUAAAGAGCUCGUAGGCGGUUUGUCGCGUCUGCUGUGAAAUCCCGAGGCUCAACCUCGGGCCUGCAGUGGGUACGGGCAGACUAGAGUGCGGUAGGGGAGAUUGGAAUUCCUGGUGUAGCGGUGGAAUGCGCAGAUAUCAGGAGGAACACCGAUGGCGAAGGCAGAUCUCUGGGCCGUAACUGACGCUGAGGAGCGAAAGGGUGGGGAGCAAACAGGCUUAGAUACCCUGGUAGUCCACCCCGUAAACGUUGGGAACUAGUUGUGGGGUCCAUUCCACGGAUUCCGUGACGCAGCUAACGCAUUAAGUUCCCCGCCUGGGGAGUACGGCCGCAAGGCUAAAACUCAAAGGAAUUGACGGGGACCCGCACAAGCGGCGGAGCAUGCGGAUUAAUUCGAUGCAACGCGAAGAACCUUACCAAGGCUUGACAUAUACGAGAACGGGCCAGAAAUGGUCAACUCUUUGGACACUCGUAAACAGGUGGUGCAUGGUUGUCGUCAGCUCGUGUCGUGAGAUGUUGGGUUAAGUCCCGCAACGAGCGCAACCCUCGUUCUAUGUUGCCAGCACGUAAUGGUGGGAACUCAUGGGAUACUGCCGGGGUCAACUCGGAGGAAGGUGGGGAUGACGUCAAAUCAUCAUGCCCCUUAUGUCUUGGGCUUCACGCAUGCUACAAUGGCCGGUACAAAGGGCUGCAAUACCGUGAGGUGGAGCGAAUCCCAAAAAGCCGGUCCCAGUUCGGAUUGAGGUCUGCAACUCGACCUCAUGAAGUCGGAGUCGCUAGUAAUCGCAGAUCAGCAACGCUGCGGUGAAUACGUUCCCGGGUCUUGUACACACCGCCCGUCAAGUCAUGAAAGUCGGUAACACCUGAAGCCGGUGGCCUAACCCUUGUGGAGGGAGCCGUCGAAG